rnacentral:lncRNA from 1 species
AAGAUGUAGAAGAUUGCUAGAGGAGGGGGAACAAAUAUCCUCUAAGCUAUCUCUCUCUUGUAGGGUAGAAUAAAUCGCUCUCCAAAGUUGAUUUAAUAACCCACUUAAGGUGGACUUAAAUAGGCUUUGAGAGAAAUUUAUUUCCUUUUCCUAGAAGGAUCUAAUUUCCUAUUAAAGAGAGAAUCAACAUCAAAAUAGGAAGCAAUCUUAAGUUUCCUAAAGCAAGAAGAUCUCUACACCUGCUGCCCUUUUCUGUGAGCAACCCAACAGGUGUGGGGGCAUUUGUGGAGCCAAAAAUAUUCACUAGGCGACACGUGGACUUUUGGACAAAAGAG